CUAGCUGUUGGGGCCGUUAGGCCUUAGUAGCGCAGCUAACGCGUGAAGUUGACCGCCUGGGGAGUACGGUCGCAAGAUUAAAACUCAAAGGAAUUGACGGGGACCCGCACAAGCGGUGGAUGAUGUGGAUUAAUUCGAUGCAACGCGAAAAACCUUACCUACCCUUGACAUGUCUGGAAUGCCGAAGAGAUUUGGCAGUGCUCGCAAGAGAACCGGAACACAGGUGCUGCAUGGCUGUCGUCAGCUCGUGUCGUGAGAUGUUGGGUUAAGUCCCGCAACGAGCGCAACCCUUGUCAUUAGUUGCUACGCAAGAGCACUCUAAUGAGACUGCCGGUGACAAACCGGAGGAAGGUGGGGAUGACGUCAAGUCCUCAUGGCCCUUAUGGGUAGGGCUUCACACGUCAUACAAUGGUCGGGACAGAGGGUCGCCAACCCGCGAGGGGGAGCCAAUCUCAGAAACCCGAUCGUAGUCCGGAUCGCAGUCUGCAACUCGACUGCGUGAAGUCGGAAUCGCUAGUAAUCGCGGAUCAGAAUGUCGCGGUGAAUACGUUCCCGGGUCUUGUACACACCACCCGUCACACCAUGGGAGUGGGUUUCACCAGAAGUAGGUAGCCUAACCGUAAGGAGGGCGCUUACCACGGUGGGAUUCACGACUGGGGUGAAGUCGUAAA
rnacentral:rRNA from 1 species